GAUGAACGCUGGCGGCGUGCCUAAUACAUGCAAGUCGAGCGAACAGACGAGGAGCUUGCUCCUCCGACGUUAGCGGCGGACGGGUGAGUAACACGUGGAUAACCUACCUAUAAGACUGGGAUAACUUCGGGAAACCGGAGCUAAUACCGGAUAAUAUAUUGAACCGCAUGGUUCAAUAGUGAAAGACGGUUUUGCUGUCACUUAUAGAUGGAUCCGCGCCGCAUUAGCUAGUUGGUAAGGUAGCGGCUUACCAAGGCGACGAUGCGUAGCCGACCUGAGAGGGUGAUCGGCCACACUGGAACUGAGACACGGUCCAGACUCCUACGGGAGGCAGCAGUAGGGAAUCUUCCGCAAUGGGCGAAAGCCUGACGGAGCAACGCCGCGUGAGUGAUGAAGGUCUUCGGAUCGUAAAACUCUGUUAUUAGGGAAGAACAAAUGUGUAAGUAACUAUGCACGUCUUGACGGUACCUAAUCAGAAAGCCACGGCUAACUACGUG
rnacentral:rRNA from 1 species